AAUACUUUAAUACAACAUAUAAAUCUUGAUCAUUUAUUUAUUUUUCUUAAUAGAUGGUUUAGAUUUAAUAUAACUCUAGAGGUGACCUACUAUUGAGGCGUAGAUACCAUUCACCAGAUUCCUAUUUAAAGGGUAUUUUUGUCUUUGCAAAAUAUUUUGAUCUACAAAAGCGGUUUUAUCCAACUAAGAAUAUUGUGAUCUUCUCAAAUGCCUACAACAAUAGUUGGAUUUCAAAUUAGAAUCAAACUGUAAAUUUAAAUUCAAAAAAAUAUUUAAAAUUUAAUUAUAAAUCAAAUUUAAUUUUUUAAAUAUAAAACACAAAUUUAAAAUAAAAUUUUCAGUUCCAAUUCAAAAUUCAAUUUAAAUCAAAAAUUAAAAUUUGGCUUUAAGAUUAAAAGUUCAAUUUAGAUUCAAAUUUAAAAAUUUAAUAUAAAUUUCAAAAUUAAAAUUUUACAUUACAAUACCAACUUCAAAAACUAAAUUUAAAUUCAAUAUUUUUUUGUUAAAAUUUAUAGGAUGCUGACAAAUUUAAUAUAUACUACUUAUUUUUUUUUCCAACAUUGCCAUAUUAACUAAUUUAAAUCGGUAACCUGUUCAACAUGUUACUUCGUUUAAAAAUCCAACUAUACCUUUUACUAAUUAAGAAUUAGAUUUUAAUAUUUAUGAUGUAUUGAAGCAUUCCUCAAGCAAAAUAAGAAGCUCCGUAUUUAUAUUUUAGAGACUUUU
rnacentral:lncRNA from 1 species